rnacentral:lncRNA from 1 species
AUGUCUCCUUGCCACCGAUUCACGCCCUUCACAUCUCCUCACUGCCGAUUCACACCCUUCACGACUCCUCUCCGCCGAUGUUAUAACUGUUUCUUACAUCAUUCUUAUAUUUUUAUGCUAUAUGUUCAGUUUGAGUUCAGAAUUGGUUCAACUCAGUUUAUGUUGGGUUCAUGUGUGGCUUGGAAUUGCUUUCAUUUUGGUUCAAUCUUUGACUCUAACUUAAGUUACGGUUGUGGUUUAUGA